CGCCGCCCAUCUAACCGACACACCCCUCGACACACCCCUCUUCUCAAACCCUUCGGCCUCUUACGACGCCUCGGGCUUGGGGGGCUUAUGUAUCCUGCCUGACCGUCCGUCCACCCGAAUAAGUGAGACCGGGCGGGUAAACCUUUGCAGCUCAAGACAACUGGUUAGCAUAACCGGGUAACGCACGGCCGGGCAAGACCGUGCCCUCCGCGCAACUUGCGCAGCUGAAGACGAACAUACCACAUUCAGCCGUCG
rnacentral:lncRNA from 1 species